rnacentral:rRNA from 1 species
UCAAACGAGGAAAGGCUUACGGUGGAUACCAGGCACCCAGAGACGAAGGGCGUAGUAAGCGACGAAAUGCUUGAGUGGUAAGCAGAUCCGGAGAUUCCUGAAUAGGUCAACCUUUCUGAACUGCUGCUGAAUCCAGGCAGGCAAGAGACAACCAUGAACUGAACAUCUAGUAGCCAGAGAAAAAGAGCAAAGAUUCCUGUAGAGCGGAGAAAUGGGAGCAGCCUAAACCGUGAAACGGGUUGUGGAGAGCACACAAGGUCAGAAGCGGAGUGCCACUAGAUAUGAGGAGAGUCCAUAGCCAGCAUACUAGCUUACGUCGACCCGGAGCAGGGGCACGUGGAAUCCCAGGUGAAUCAAGCGACACCUUGCCAAUACUCCUGGGUGACCGAUAGCGAAGUAGUACCUGAGGAAGGGUGAAAAGAAAUGGUCGAGUGAAAGAACAUGAAACCGAAGCUCCUGCAUGGGAGAGCCCAGCUCUAGUCUGUUGAAGAAUGGUGACUCAGGCAGUGGCUUGCUAAGGAACCCACCGGAGCCGAGGAAAGGAGUCUUCAUAGGGCAAUUGUCACUGCUUAUGCGAACCUGGAUCUAUCCAUGACCAGGAUGAAGCUUGGGUGAAACAAGGGAGGUCCAACACUGAUGCUGAAGAAUCAGCGGAUGAGUUGUGGUUAGUGAAAUACUCGAACCGAGUAGCUGCUGAAAUGCGUUGAGGCGGCAGUUGACUGACAUCUAGGUAAAGCACUGUUUCGUGGCCGCGAGAGCGGUACCAAAUCGAGGCAAAUGAAUACUAGAUAUGACCUCAAACUAACAGGGCUGUCGGCCAGUGAGACGAUGGGGAUGUUAUCGUCGAGAGGGAAACAGCCCGGAUCACCAGCUAAGGCCCCAAAUGACCGCCUGAUAAAGGAGGUAGGGGCAGAGACAGCCAGGAGGUUUGCCUAGAAGCAGCCACCCUGAAAGAGUGCGUAAUAGCCACUGAUCGAGCGCCUGCGCCGAAGAUGAACGGGGCUAAGCGAUCUGCCGCUGUGGGAUGUCAAAUGCAUCGGUAGGGGAGCGUUCCGCCUUAGAGGAAGCACCUGCGCGAGGGUGGACGAAGCGGAAGCGAGAAUGUCGGUUUGAGUAACAUUGGUGAGAAUCCAAUGCCCCGAAAACCUGUUCCUCCCGUCUGUCCACGGAGGGUGAGCGUAGUAAGAUCAGGCCGAAAGGCGAUGAUGGACAGGUGAAUAUUCUGUACUCACUUUGUUGGUCCUGAGGGACGGAGGAGGCAGGUUAGCUGAAAGAUGUAUCGUCAUGACGCAUGGGACCCUGCUUUUUCAGGUAAGAGAGAAAAUAAUUGAGCCAAUGUUCGAGUACCAGGCGCUACGGCGCUGAAGUAACCCAUGCCAUAUGGAAAAGCUCGAACGACCUUCACAAAGGGUACCCAGAAACCGACACAGGUGGGUAGUAGAGAAUACCUAGGGCGCGAGACAACUUCUUAAGGAACUCGGCAAAUAGCCCUCGUAACUUCGGGAGAAUAGCCUCUACAAUGGUGACCAGGCCCGGGCGACUGUUUACCAAAACACAGGUCUCCGCAGUCGUAAGACUAGUGGGGCUGACGCCUGCCCAGUGCCGGAAGGUCAAGGAAGUUGGUGACCUGAUGACAGGGAGCCAGACCGAAGCCCCGAACGGCGGCCGUAACUAUAACGGUCCGCGCAGAAGCAAAUCUUUGUCGGGUAAGUUCCGACCCGCACAGAAAGGCGUAACGAUCUGGGACUGUCCGAGGAGAGGCUCGGUGAAAUAGACAUGUCUGUGAAGAUGCACUCCCUGCACCUGGACAGAAAGACCCGAAGCUUCACUGUUCCCUGAUUGGCUGGGCCUUUCCUGCAGCUUAGGUGGAGGCGAAGAAGGCCUCCUUCCUGGGGGGGCCUGAGCCAUCAGUGAGAUACCACCUUGGAAGAGCUGAAUUCUAACCUUGUGUCAGAUUCAGACAGUCUCAGGUGACAGUUUCUAUGGGGCGUAGGCCUCCCAAAAGGUAACGAGGCAGUUGCUCUCUGGCCGACGAGAUUGGCCCUCGAGCGCAAAGGCAGAAGGGGGUCUGCAAGACCACCUGUCGAGCAGGAGAAAGUCGGCCUUAGUGAUCCGACGGUGCGAGUGGAAGGCCGUCGCUCACGAUAAAAGUUACUCAGGAUAACAGGCUGAUCUUCCAAGAGCUCACAUCGAGGAAGGUUUGGCAUCGAUGUCGGCUCUUCGCCACCUGGGGCUGUAGUAUGUUCAUACAGCUGUUCGCCCAUUAAAGCGGUACGUGAGCUGGGUCGUCGUGAGACAGUUCGGUCCAUAUCGGUGUGGGCGUUAGAGCAUUGAGAGGACUUUCUCAGUACGAGAGGACUGGGAAGGACGCACCUCUGGUGUACAUUAGAGCCACGGUAAACGCUGGGCAGCAAGUGUGGAGCGGAUAACGCUGAAAGAUCUAAGUAGUAAGCCCACCCCAAGAUGAGUGCUCUCCUAUUCCGACUUCCCCAGAGCCUCCGGUAGCACAGCCGAGACAGACGGUUCUCUCUGUUCCCCUGCGGGGAUGGAGCGAGAGGUUUUGAGAAUUCAAGAGUCACGGCGAGACGACGUUUAUCAUUCGAUAGUGCGGGCGGGAGUGCAGGACGCAUGCAGCUGAGGCAUCCAACAGACCGUACUGAACCUUGUUCC